rnacentral:misc_RNA from 1 species
GUGAGCAGGGUGAUAGGUACCGUGAACUAGCUAGUAGAGUGGAUGAGGCCCUUGGUUUCAUGACUGCAGCUGGACUUACAAUGGACCAUCCUAUUAUGAAAACCACUGAGUUCUGGACAUCUCAUGAGUGCUUACUUUUGCCCUAUGAACAGUCACUAACACGCCGGGAUUCAACUUCUGGCCUUCACUAUGAUUGCUCUGCUCAUUUCCUUUGGGUUGGAGAGAGAACCAGGCAGUUGGAUGGUGCCCAUGUUGAGUUCUUGAGAGGAAUUGCCAACCCUCUCGGUAUUAAGGUGAGUGACAAGAUGGACCCAAGUGCAUUGGUCAAGCUCAUUGAGAUUUUGAACCCACAAAACAAAGCUGGAAGGAUUACAAUAAUUACCAGAAUGGGAGCAGAAAACAUGAGGGUUAAGCUUCCUCAUCUUAUCAGGGCAGUCCGAAGAGCAGGACAAAUUGUGACUUGGGUAUCUGAUCCUAUGCACGGAAAUACCAUCAAAGCUCCAUGCGGUCUAAAAACUCGACCUUUUGAUUCCAUCAGGGCUGAGGUAAGAGCAUUCUUUGAUGUUCAUGAUCAAGAAGGAAGCCACCCAGGAGGAGUUCAUCUUGAGA